CUGCUGGUGGUUCAGUGGUAGAAUACUCGCCUGCCACACGGGAGGCCCGGGUUCGAUUCCCAGCUAGUACA
rnacentral:tRNA from 1 species